rnacentral:rRNA from 1 species
UUCUACAGCCAUACCACCCGGAAUGCACCCAAUUUCAUCUGAUCGCAGAAGCUAAGCAGGGUCAGGCCUGGUUAGUACUUAGAUGAACACACUACCAUUUAACUGCAGAAGCUGAAUACA